GGAGAGGUGUCCGAGAGGCUUAAGGAGCACGCCUGGAAAGUGUGUAUAGGCUAAUACCCUAUCGAGGGUUCGAAUCCCUCCCUCUCCG
rnacentral:tRNA from 1 species